rnacentral:rRNA from 1 species
UACGUAGGGAGCAAGCGUUGUCCGGAAUCAUUGGGCGUAAAGCGCGCGUAGGUGGCUUCAUAAGUCCGUUGUGAAAGUCAAAGGCUCAACCUUUGAAAGCCGAUGGAUACUGUGAAGCUAGAGUACGGAAGAGGAGAGUGGAAUUCCUGGUGUAGCGGUGAAAUGCGCAGAUAUCAGGAAGAACACCCGUGGCUAAGGCGGCUCUCUAGUACGGUACUGACGCUGAGACGCGAAAGCGUGGGGAGCGAACAGG